CAGCCGUAAACUAUGCGCGUUAGGUGUAUCGGUGACCACGAGUUACCGAGGUGCCGAAGGGAAACCGUGAAACGUGCCGCCUGGGAAGUACGGUCGCAAGGCUGAAACUUAAAGGAAUUGGCGGGGGAGGCACCACAACAGGUGGAGCCUGCGGUUUAAUUGGACUCAACGCCGGGAAGCUCACCGGAUAGGACAGCAGAAUGAUUGCCGGGCUGAAGACCCUGCAUGACUAGCUGAGAGGAGGUGCAUGGCGUCAGUGACU
rnacentral:rRNA from 1 species